rnacentral:RNase_P_RNA from 1 species
CAAGUAAGGUAUGUGAUCGCGGCUGGCAGAACCGAAAGGGGCCAGGUGAGGAAAGUCCGGGCUCCACAGGGCAGGGAUGCCGGAUAACGUCCGGCGGAGGCGACUUCAGGGACAGUGCAACAGAAAUAAACCGCCUGCCAAUGCAGGUAAGGGUGGAAAGGCAGUGUAAGAGACUACCGCCGCUGUGGUAACAGAGCGGGCACAUGUAAACCCCAUCCGGAGCAAGACCGAACAGAAAGCUAUGUGGCUGCCCGUCACGCUUUCAGGUGGGUCGCUUGAGGCUGCUGGCAACAGCAGUCCUGGAUAGAUGAUCACACACGACAUAACCCGGCUUAUCGCUUUGCUUGCUGU